rnacentral:lncRNA from 1 species
UGUACGAAAACGUUGAGAAAUCAAUUGAUUAAGAAUGAGGUUGGAUCGUCGACAAUUCCCUAAACAAUAGUAUUCACAUGCAAUUCAAUUGUAUCGUAAUGAAUCACUCGAAUGUUACAACUAGAUCAACAAUAUGGUNNNNNNNNNNAGCUACCGGUAGCGGAGUAUUUGAAAACGCGUUGAUCGUAUGCUACAUUCUAUGUUUCAAUCUCUCGACCGGAAACACUCAAAUGCACAAUGAAUUCAGUUCUGAUUUCAACUCAUACUCUCGUACAUAAUCAAAAUCUAAGUUCAUUGCAAGAUUGAUCAGAAAUUGUAAAGCAUUAAGGAUAGAACUUCAUUGAAUAACAUUCAUAAAAGAGAGAUUCAGUACAGAUACAAUUGAUUACAUGGAAUACAUUGGUUUAGUUCCUCAUCAUGAUCCAACCUCAAUGGAGGUCUAGCCUCUCAUCGUGAAGUAGCUCGAUUCUUGCUCCAACUUCAAGGAAUCCACUCCCAUGAUGUUGAAUGCUUCCGAUCUAGC